GGAAAGCUUAGUGUUUGUUUCACUAGCGGCGGCGCCGUGGAGGGUCGUCGCCGGAAAGAUUUUCCUCUCAUGAUUUCUGACCCACUUGAAGAUUUGGGUCAUUCUUUUUGUUAUGUUCGACCCGAUCAGACCCGGAUUUCAUCUUCCAAAGUUCACUCGGAGGAAACCACAACUUUCCGGUCAAUCUCCGGCGCCUCUGUUAGCGCCAACACUUCUACGCCGCUCUCCACUGCUUUUGUCGAUCUGUAUUCUUACAAUAGUAUCGAUCGGUCUUCGGCCUUCGAGGGGUCUACUUCUUUUGCUUCAAUACCCCUUCAACCUAUUCCCAGAAACUCUUCAAUUUACUCCGGCCCGCUUUUCAGUUCGGGUCUUGUUCCGGCUUCGGGCCCUACGGAACGUGGGUUCAUGUCCGGCCCGAUUGAGAGGGGAUUUCAAUCGGGGCCGCUUGAUCGUGGUCUUUAUUCGGGCCCUCUUGAUAGGGGCUGUUCUGAUCAGUUUCAGAGAAGCUAUUCACAUGGUUUUGCUCUUCGAUCCAGAUCAAGAAAAGGGUCAUUCUUUCGGGUUCUACAAAGAGCUAUAUCAAAGACCUUAUCAAGAGGUCAAAAUUCUAUUGUUGCACCGAUUAAAGGAUCAAUUUCAGUAAAAGAAAGUGAUUGGGUUGUGGGUGCUGAAAAGCAGAACGAAUUGACUAUUAGCAGUGUGAAUUUCAGCAGUGAGUGUAGUUUGGAUGAUGAUGACACUUUAGAUAAUCAGAAUGUUCAGUGGGCUCAAGGUAAAGCCGGUGAAGAUCGUGUUCAUGUCGUAGUUUCUGAGGAACAUGGUUGGGUUUUUGUAGGGAUUUAUGAUGGAUUCAAUGGUCCUGAUGCACCUGAUUUCUUGGUAUCAAAUUUGUACCCUGCUGUUCACAAAGAGCUCAAAGGAUUGUUAUGGGAUGACAAAUUAGAUAAUAAUUCCUCUGUUACGAUCCCAUCUCCGAGUUUGGCCGUGGAAGAAUCUAAUCAGACUAUUGACGAUGAAUUCUUAAGGGAUAGUUGUUCAAGAUGUGUUGAGCAAGAGAAUUAUCCUUCAGCAAGGGAGGAUCUUUCUUCCGAUUCGCGGUUAAAGAAAAAGAGGGGAAAAGGUUCAAAGAACAGGUACAGAGGAGUAUCAAAGAAAUGGGAAGAGAAUCAGAGGCGAUGGCGAUGCGAAUGGGACAGGGAAAGAUUAGAACUUGAUAGGAGAUUGAAGGAACAGCUGAAUGGAAAUGGUUCAAAUGGAUCAGGAUCAGUUAAUCAUGCUGAUGUAUUAAAAGCUCUUUCUCAAGCAUUGAAGAAAACAGAGGAGGCAUAUUUGGAUCUAGCUGAUAGGAUGAAUAUGGAGAACCCUGAAUUGGCUUUGAUGGGUUCUUGUGUUCUUGUUAUGUUAAUGAAAGGAGAGGAUGUUUAUGUGAUGAAUGUAGGCGAUAGUCGAGCCGUGUUAGCUCAGAAGAAAGAGCCUAAUCUAUGGAGUCAAGAUUUGGAAAGGAUCAAUGAAGAAACAUUGAAAGAUCUUGAACUUUUCGAUGGCGAUGAGUCGGAUUGUGUACCUAAUUUAACUGCUUUCCAGCUUAGUAUAGAUCAUAGCACCUCCGUGGAAGAGGAAGUUCAAAGAAUAAAAAGUGAACAUCCAGAUGAUCCAUGUGCCCUAAUGAAUGACCGUGUUAAAGGUUCAUUGAAGGUUACUAGGGCUUUUGGUGCUGGUUUCCUCAAACAGCCUAAAUGGAACAAUGCACUACUUGAGAUGUUCAGAAUCGACUAUAUUGGAACUUCCCCCUACAUCAACUGCCUUCCGUCUCUCUAUCAUCACAGGUUAGGGCCAAGAGACAGGUUUUUGAUACUGUCAUCCGAUGGGCUCUACCAGUACUUCACAAACGAAGAAGCUGUAUUAGAAGUCGAACAUUUUAUCUCAUGGUCACCAGACGGAGAUCCAGCACAACAUCUCAUCGAGACAGUAUUGUUUCGUGCUGCAAAAAAAGCUGGUAUGGAGUUCCAUGAGUUGCUUGAAAUUCCACAAGGGGAUCGACGUCGAUACCAUGAUGAUGUUUCAAUAAUUGUUAUUUCUUUGGAGGGAAGAAUAUGGAGAUCCAGUGCAUAAGUAGGGAAAAAAAAUUUAAAGAGUUAUAGACCUAUUCAAAGAAAAAUCAAACAUCCAAUUUUUGUUCUUUCCUAAAUCACCAUUUUUGUAAAUAGCAACUAAGCCCUGGAACCAGUGUUACUUAGUUGUAAAAUGUACCGUGUGUGAUGGAUGGAAUUGUAAAGGUGUUAGAAAAACAACUCCUUUAUCAGUUUAUAAGCUGUCAUAGUAAGUGUAAUUUU
rnacentral:misc_RNA from 1 species